rnacentral:misc_RNA from 1 species
UUUCCGUAGGUGAACCUGCGGAAGGAUCAUUAAUGAAAUGUUGAAAGGAGUCUGAUGCUGGCGUUUCGGCGCAUUGUGCUCGGCUCUGAUCCAUUCACACACACUGUGCACAUGCCUUUUUACCAACGCAUGAACCGUCAUACCAUUCUAUUCGAAUGUAAUACAACUUUCAACAACGGAUCUCUUGGCUCUCGCAUCGAUGAAGAACGCAGC